AAAAUAUUGUGUUGGGAUACCAUCAAUCAUAAAGUUUACUAUUUGGCUACACAAGAGAAAAAACCAGGCCAAAAACAUUUAUAUUCUGUUAAAGAUCCAGUACACGAUGAUGUCAGAAGAACUGAACCACAAUGCAUAACAUGUGACUUAGGCGAAGACCUUUGGAGUAGUCGCUACUACUAUAUUAACUGUUCGCAUUUUGACGCCUUUAUAACACCAUCGUUAUAUGUUGCAACAACUUAUGGAAUUCAGUUCUACAUUUUGGAGUGUCAAGGUCCAGGACUACCAGUAUCGGGAGUGCAUUUGCAUAAAACACAUAGCUUAGUGAAAAUUUUAUAUGAUACACGGCCAUUUUAUAAAGAAAAACUUCAAAAGCUAGCAUUACCAA